rnacentral:rRNA from 1 species
CUUCCUACGGGACGCAGCAGUGGGGAAUAUUGCGCAAUGGGGGAAACCCUGACGCAGCAACGCCGCGUGCGGGAUGAAGGCUUUCGGGUUGUAAACCGCUUUCAGCAGGGAAGAUAGUGACGGUACCUGCAGAAGAAGCCCCGGCUAACUACGUGCCAGCAGCCGCGGUAAUACGUAGGGGGCAAGCGUUAUCCGGAUUUACUGGGUGUAAAGGGAGCGUAGACGGCGAGGCAAGUCUGGAGUGAAAGCCCGGGGCUCAACCCCGGGACUGCUUUGGAAACUGCCUGGCUGGAGUGCUGGAGAGG